AGUCACGCGGCAACCAGAGAGAGCGUGACCGGGAGAGAGCCGCCGCCCGGGCCAAGGCUGGGAAAAACAAAGACGACGGCUUGACGCCGGAGCAGCGCCGAGAGAGGGAUGCGAAAGCGCUGCAAGAAAAGCAGGCGAAGAAGGCCGCGGGGGCGGCGGGAGGGAAUUCCGCCGGAGGUAAUAAAACGAAAUAAGAGAAUGGAGUUGUCUAAUUUGGAGCUCUUGUCUUAACUUUGGCUUGAUUUAUAGCUGUUGAGAUCUAAUAGUUUGUGGCUUCCAACUUUAUUUUUAUUUGUCAAGUGCCGAAUGAUUGAUGUUGGAGAUGUCGUUGUGAGUUAUGUUAUACUUGAAUUUGAAACAAUUGAAGUUCGCUAAUGUGAUGUGUACUCUGUAUUUGUUGAA